CCUACAGGAUGGAGAGGGGGCUCUGCUCAUAGCUGGGAGAAUGUCAGAGGCUCCAUGACAGGUCGUGUAAUAACCGAUUGGAAACACAGUCUCAGAAACGAGCUUCAUACAGUGCUUCUCAGACGACUCCUUCGUUCAUCGCGCUUUUAAACAACGGCACGACGCCCAACGGAUGGAGCGCAGGUCAGCGGUCAACGUCGACAGUCUACGUUUCAAGUUCCAGCCUCCUUGAAGACCUUUGGAUUUAACACAUAGAGUUCUUUUCCUGACCACAGCCCAAAUAGAGAGAAAAGGGAACAUCUGCAUCUGACCACCAAAAAACAUGGCUGGAGUCUGCACAUUGGGAGAAUUUGCCGGAAUGUCUUUGUGGAAGAGAUUCGACAUUUCCGAAGAGGGUCCCCCAUCCGUCAUCUGCUCCCUUUUCAUCCCCAGAUAAAAAGAGCUCAUUUUAUUUUUAAUGACAUCACCUCGCUCAUCUGGACCACAGGGAUGGCCUCCUGAACGCCUCCUGCUUCCGUGCCCCUCUCUCCUCCCUAGCGCAGUCUACGAGCAUCUGGAGGGAUAUUUUAUAAACCUAGGUAAGAUCGCAUCACUGCCGCACUGAAAAUUUGUCAAUACCUUCGCGUCCCAUUCUUGCCCUCACUCACCUCACUUUUUCCGGACCCCGUUCCCACCUCCGCCCUCCUCAUUGAUAUCCCCAUGCCUGGAAUGAUCUUGCCCUCAUGUCUGCACUCGCUGGGUUGUUUAGUCUGGGUUAUCCAGGGCUGAGCACGGUUCCCAGCGCGGUGGAAAACCAGAGAGGGUGCUUCGCGACGGGGCAGCUGCAGAGUCACCUUGCAAAGGGUGAGAAUACCAAGAGGAAUGAGGGACAGUGGCCCUUGGCGGACCCCCCCCCAUGGGGUGGACAAUGGUGGAAACCAGGGCGAUCCAAGAAAGUGGGGCUCAUGAUCUCCCCAGAAGCAGAAGGACCUUCCGAGUCCUGAAUUCGUUCCGGACUGGCCAUCUGUGCCUCCUGGGUCCCCACGAGAGAA